AGUGAACGCUGGCGGUAGGCCUAACACAUGCAAGUCGAACGGCAGCACAGUAAGAGCUUGCUCUUACGGGUGGCGAGUGGCGGACGGGUGAGGAAUACAUCGGAAUCUACUUUUUCGUGGGGGAUAACGUAGUGAAACUUACGCUAAUACCGCAUACGACCUACGGGUGAAAGCAGGGGAUCUUCGGACCCUGCGCGAUUGAAUGAGCCGAUGUCGGAUUAGCUAGUUGGCGGGGUAAAGGCCCACCAAGGCGACGAUCCGUAGCUGGUCUGAGAGGAUGAUCAGCCACACUGGAACUGAGACACGGUCCAGACUCCUACGGGAGGCAGCAGUGGGGAAUAUUGGACAAUGGGCGCAAGCCUGAUCCAGCCAUACCGCGUGGGUGAAGAAGGCCUUCGGGUUGUAAAGCCCUUUUGUUGGGAAAGAAAAGCAGCAGGUUAAUACCCCGCUGUUCUGACGGUACCCAAAGAAUAAGCACCGGCUAACUUCGUG
rnacentral:rRNA from 1 species